CCAGCGUGGUUGAAUCUCGCUGGGGCCUCCAGAAAUAUUAUGGAAACGACAGGCCAGUCAAGAAACAAGCACCACUUGGAG
ensembl:miRNA